rnacentral:lncRNA from 1 species
UGAAGGGGUGGCGGGCGUGGCACCUGCGAGCGCGCGUGGGACGGGAACUGUGGGCUCAGAGGGAUAAUCCUGAGGUUUUGGAGACGCCUUGCAACUCUGCCUUCUACCAACACUUUUGUGACUUCUGAUUUUCCUUGUCCUGUGACCUCAGAAUCCAGCCGGGGUGACACCCUCCUUCCCACAGAUGCCCCAGGUCUGCGGACUCCGCAACGGAUCACCAACCAUAUGCAGCGUGCAUUUGUGCCCACGCACACCUUUGUGUGGGUGUGUGCAUCGAUGUGUCCGAAGGGGCCGCCGUGUCCCAGGAAGGGAGUGUGUACCGUGUGUGCAAGUUGGCGCGGACUCCACCAGAACGGCGGGUCCCUCCUCUGCCCUCCCUGAUUGCAUCAUUAGUGCUAAUUGAGGGGCUUUCACACGUCAGUGCUUUAGCUGUUUGGAGUGAGCUCCCCCCUCCUGGGAGAGAUAAGUCGCUGCCCCUCCCCCUCACCGGUCUCCGCUUCCCCACCGCCCCGACUCCGUUCCCUUACCGCUCUGGCACCCUCCUUUCUCCCGCUUCCCAGGAGCAGAAUCAUUUCAAAGAAUUGGAAGGCAUGAAAUGCUGUGCUAUGCCACUGCAGACUCCCAUUGUACAUCUGUCCAUCCACCCAAAGGCCAGGCAGGGUCUACAACUAAGACCUUGCAGGCCAGAGUCUGCUCCAGAUCGGUGGUGCUAUCUUCCGUGGUGCUAACACCUUCAGUCCAGGCCUCUUCUCCAAGGCUCCCAGCAGCCCUCAGACCAGUGUCUUGAGCUUGUACAAUAAGACUCAGUGCUUUGGACCCAGGAUGUUUCUUCCUUUCACCAUCUUUCCAGUGUCAUCCACCCCAUCCAAAACACUGACUUGGAUACCAAGGCCUGGGAAAGAGGCAGAUGGCCCAGACUCCAAAAUGCCUCUUUUCUUUGGAAGUAUCUCCUAGGUACCUUCUUGUCACAUGUGGUCAAGUUGUCCCAGCGCCUGGAUUAUAAUACAGUACAGUGUCAACCUUCUGGCAGUCUUCUGUAUUGAAACCCUUUUUCUUCUAGCCUGGGUCUCUUUUGGAGUAUUACUUUCCUGCUCAAAAACCUGGAGGAUAAACUGAACGGGCCCUCAGGCCUCUGAGCUGACCCUAGCCCUCUACCCAGCCCUUUACUCCCUUUAUUAUUCCCCCGGAGAAAGUCAAACUCCCUGGCCUGGCACCUCUCCUACUCCUGACGGCUGCCUUUAUUUACCCUUUGCCAUCAAUGCUGUCUCUUCCAGUUUCUCCUUCUUGAAAUGCCCUCUUCCAGCCUUUAUGCUCCAUCUUCAAGGUCUCCUGGAAAGUAGUGAGAGAUGAUGCUUCUCUAACUGGGGUACCCAGGUCUGGGGUCUAGAGGGUGUAUUCUUGGCAUUAGGAAAUGUACAGAAUACAUUUGUCAGGUCUUAGAAAACUUGUGUAAAGAGCUUGGUACUUGGAAUCAGAGAUUCAGUCUCAGUUGGAUUCCCUUGGGCGAGUCAGUCGACCUUUCUCUGUUAGGUUUCUGAUUUAGAAAAUGGGAGACAGCUGAGUGCAGUGACACAUGCUUGUAAUCUCAGUACUCUGGAAGGCUGACGCAGGAGGAUGGCAAGUUGGAGCCCAGCCUGGUUAACUUAGCAAAUUAGAGAGGUCCUGUCUAAAAUAAAUAAGGGCUGAGGAUAUAGCAUAUAGCUCAGUGUGAAGGCCCUGGGCUCAAUCCCCAGUACCAAAAAGAAAAAAAGGCACGUGGUGGGGAUGGGGUUGGGGGUGGGAGUGGGUGGAUAAUAAUAGUACCUGCUAUACCUUCCACAUAAAGUUGAGUGGAUGAAAUGGAAGAAAAAAACCUGACGUAGGAUAAGCGCUCAGUACAGUGCCUGUAAUCUGUUAAUAGUAAUAAUAUCAUCAAACAAAUAAACAUCGGUGACAACAUGUUAGACAACUUGGUUGAGUGUAACUCUGCCGAGAGGCACAAAUAACUUUAACCACUUUCCAUCCUGGUUCCCAUUGGUGAAACCUCUCAGCCUCCUGGGCUGCCUCUGGGCCUGGGAUUUUUCCUUUUUCCCAAAUCAGUAAACUAGCAAUUGAUCAGAGGCGGGUAGCUGUCCGCUCUCCCCACUGCCCCGUGGUGAGCUAGGGAAGGAAGACCAU